UUUACGGGUCCACAUGAAAGUCUGUUGGGAGCCAACAGCGUCUCCUCUGGCUGGAAGAGUAUGUCAGUCAGCUCACCCAGACGUUCGUACAGGGAGCGGCCGGUGAUCAGAUUCGGGAUGUCCUUCAACCAGGAGGAGAUUCGCGGGGGCAAGGGCGUCAGCUGGAAUAUAUCAGCCAUAUACUGGCAGCGGAUAACCUCGCGUUCACCCCCAGCAGCUUCUUCUCCAGUUUGGGGCGAGCGAUCAGAUUCGAGAUGACCUUCAACCAGGAGGAGAUUCGCGGGGGCACGGGCGUCAGCUGGAACAUAUCCUCCAUAUACUGGCAGAGGAUAACCUCGCGGUCACCCCCAGCAGCUUCUUCUCCAGUUUGGGGCGAGCGUGUUUACACAACAAAAUGAAGAAAGACAGGCACAAUUGGAAUCGGCAGUAAGCCUAUGACACGGGCGAAAGUCGGCGAGGAUUCACAAGUCCCGGGGGCUUCAUCGAUGAUCGCGCACUCGAUCGACACUGUUCCUGCGCUAAUUCUCUUCACUUCCUCCUCGUUCUCUUCUAUCAUCGUUGAUGACGGAUCUCUUCGUCCUCGUCCAGCUUCUUGCGGAAUCUUCUACGGAUCUCGUUCAUGGUUGCAUUCAGCAGGGAGGUGUUCCAGGCCUCCGCAUCCCUCAGACAGUGGCUCCACGCCCGUUUAUCCUCGUAUCGCAGAUCACACGCUGGGCUUCAGCUUCGAGACAUAACUUAUGUAACCUACGCUUUGCCAAAAAACCAAGUCGGAAGGGGCUACGCGAGCUAGAUAGAUAGAUCUCGUUGUGGUUAGAUUUAAGGAUAUAUAAGGAUUUAGAUUUAGAUAGUAAAUAUAAAUGUUUUCCAAUUGUGUCUUUACUUAUACUAAGCUUAAUUUUGAUGAAUAAAAAUAUUAAGAAAUCA